rnacentral:rRNA from 1 species
CCUACGGGUGGCAGCAGUGAGGAAUAUUGGUCAAUGGGCGGAAGCCUGAACCAGCCAAGUAGCGUGCAGGAUGACGGCCCUACGGGUUGUAAACUGCUUUUAUACGGGAAUAACGCGCCUUACGUGUAGGGCUUUGCAUGUACCGUAUGAAUAAGGACCGGCUAAUUCCGUGCCAGCAGCCGCGGUAAUACGGAAGGUCCGGGCGGUAUCCGGAGUUAUUGGGUGUAAAGGGAGCGUAGGCCGCAUGUCAAGCGUGCUGUGAAAUGGCCGGGCCCAACCCGGGCCUUGCAGCGCGAACUGGCGUGGUUGGGACCGGGGAAGGCAGGCGGAAUUCGUGGGGUAGCGGGGAAAUGGU